GCGCCUGUGGUCUAGUUGGUUAUGACGCCGCCUUAACACGGCGUAGGUCCUGGGUUCGAUUCCCGGCGGGCGUA
rnacentral:tRNA from 1 species